UUUUUCAAUUUCAAUUCCCUAUUUCAUCUCAGAAAUCAUUAAAGCUUUUUCCAAUUUCAAUUCUCUAUUUCUUCGAUUCCAUCUUCAAUGGAUUCCUUUAAUUUCAGAUUCAAACUCAGCAAUUUCUUUAUGAUACACAAACUUAGCUAUUUCUCCCUUACACAAACUCUCUAGCAAAUUCUCGUUUCUCCUUUGCGCAAAACAAUCAAUUCACAUAACGCUCUCUUUCUAUCUCGCAAGAAUCUAUCUUCUUUGUCGCCCAUUCUUCUCUCUCGCUCAACCUCAUUUCUAAAUGAAAAAGAGGAAAAAAUAGUGUUGGUGAGUGAACAUCAAUUAGGUUUUUCUCGUGGCUUGCGAGACUUUUCCCCUAUUCUCGCAACUUAACCUCUGCAUCGAUUAGAGUUUCUGCAUCUUGCGAGACUUGCAACACUUCUACCUCUUCGUGACUUGGUGAUUUUGCUAUGAAUUUUCAUCUUUGCCUUGUUAUCUCUCAAAAGAGAAUAAAAGUAACUCAUUUCCCUAUUUUGCAUGAUUGCAUCUUAAUAACUUUCUAUAGUGAUUGUAUUAUUUAACUAUAUUUAAGCUUAAUCGAUGCUUUUAUGCACUAGUUUAGUUAUUGCUUUUGCAUUACUUUAAAAGUAACUCUUAAUCAUCUUGAAAUCAUUGAAUUGAUGUUUUCUGGUUUACUCUAAAAGUUCAAUUUGAUUCUAAGUGACAUAAAAUUAUGACUUAGUUAGGAAGUAUGACUGACUAAAAUUAUGAAAAUUGGUAUUUAAUUGGGUUUUCAAAUUUUAUGGUAUUUAUUAAAAUUUUGGUCGAUCAUCUCUGCAUUAAUUUGAUAUGCUCAUUGAUGUAUAUUUGUUUUCUGUUUUCUGCUCUUCUGAUUCUAAAUCCAGUUCUAGCUUUUCUAUUUUAAAUCCUUUGGUUAUGAUUCUGAUUAGCAUCAAGUGAAUAAAAUAGAUUUCAAAGCAUUGUGAAAAUAAUAAACACUUCCUAAUUGUUAGUUAGUAUAUAUUGUUGGCUGGAACACCUAGAAUGCCUUCAUCUAAUUUUUGUUAUUAUUUUUAGGCUGCAAAGUCUCUAAUUCUUUUUCCAUUGUACUCAUCCUACCCUUAUUGAUAGUUCUUUAUAUGAAGCACUUGAGAUAUGGUGAACCUAUUAUGCUAUUUCCCUUUCUUAAUUUAUGAGAUUUCGUGGAUUAUAAAAUAUGAGAAACUCAACUCUCUAAUCUUAGAGACACUUUGAAAAACUUGAAGCAUCAAGGAUGAAGAAGGGUUAGUGUUAACAUAAAUAAGGGUUAGUGUUCAGUCUUUGAUUCUAUAUUUAGAUCUAGUUGUUGAAGGAUUGAUUUGGGGUUGUGAAUUUUUUGUUCCUGUUGAGAAAAAAAAUGAAGUCAGGGUCACUGGAUCAGUGGAGGAACUACUUUAGGUCGUCAAAUUUGGAUACUUUCGAUAUAAUUGACUAUGCAAUUGUGGUUGCUGCUUCUGAUUGUCCAAAGGAGUUUAAGUUGAGGAGAGAUAAGAUUGUUGAGAGGUUGUUCUCUUGUAAGUUGACUCGUUGUUUGGGGUGUGAUAAGGUUGAAUUGGCUGUGAAUGGGGAUGAUGAUCAUGAAGGUUGCAAGAGUGAUGGUGUUGAGUUUGGAGCUAGUGGAAGCAAAGAGAGUAAGGUGACUGAUCAUGGAUUGAUGAUGGAUGGAAACCUUGUUAGCAAUUAUAGCUUUGGUGAAGCUGAGGCUUUGACUGAUGAGAUUGAAGAAGAAUCUCAGUUUGUUGGUGAGGUUUUGAGGAUUAGACUUUAGAGACAUUCUCUAUAACCGUGAAGAAGAGGUAAGUUUAAUUAAGAAGGUUACCGAACAAGUAAGACUUCUUGCCAAGGAUGAAGAUGAGAAACUUACCGAAACCAGCUUAUAUGAUGUUAUUCCUCCUUAUGACCAAGCAAAAGCACUUGGGAAGACAAAUAUUGAUGUUGAUUGUAUAGCUUCUGGCUUACCUUGUGGUAGUGAAGGGUUUCUCUUAAUGUUUGCUCGGUGGAAAAAGCUUGAAAGAGACAUAUAUAAUCAACGGAAGGAGCGCUUUGACAUAACCCAAAUUCCUGACGUGUAUGAUUCAUGCAAGUUAUCUCUCUCAUUAGAUAUGAUCUCUUGCACAAUGCACAUCUUAAUCUAGAAGGACUGGAUGAACUAUUUAAAGUUGCUCAGGCACUUGCUGAUGGUGUAAUUCCAAAUGAAUACGGAAUUAAUCCAAUUCAGAAGCUGAAGAUUGGCUCAAAGAUCGCACGUCGGUUAUUUGGGAAAUUCUUUGAUUGAUCCGAGGAACACCCGUGAGGAAGCCAAAAGCUGAGGGAGUAGAUCCCUAUACUUGUUGAGUCUUGUUGUAAGCCAAAAGCCAAAUUUUCGAUUAUUGUAAGUCUUGUUUUUUCUGUUUGUAUACUUGUUGAGUUCUACUCCCUAUUCUUAUAUGGUUGUAAUUGAUGCACAAAAGCUGUCAAAGGUGUUUUGAUUCUCUGUUGUAAAAUUCUGCUAUUUGCAGAAUGUCUCAGAAACCAAACUGGAGAGUCCAGAUGAGUCAUUUAAGGUCUAGCAUAAAGCCAACUUACUUAGUGAUUUUGUUGGAUUUGGAUUCCUUAUUUCAAUAUAUACUUUUUAUAUCCAUAUCCAAAAAUUUUGGAGUAUUUACUAAAUAUUUUGUUUACGAA